CGAGAGACUGUGCCUCCACCGCCAUCGCCGUCUCUUCGACGACGCCGGGCGAUCGGCCCCUACACCAAAGCCAUCCAGCAUUGGAAGACGUCAUCGAGGGCCACUCCUGCGGACACAGUCAUUACAUUCGUAAAGCUUGCGAGGCCAACAUUGGAGGCUGCUCGAUCGGUUCACUUGCAAACAAUGCCAUCUUAUCUGAGAAGAUCCAGGAACAUUCUUGUCCCAUCAAUUCAAGUCAACACUAGCUAAAAUUUUCCCACCAAUUUGAACAGCUACGCAAAUCUCUUAACUUCUUCUUCUUUCCAUCAACAGUGUAUUUAUUUAUGGUUUUGUUUCAUGCAAAUUGGCACCCAGCUCCAAUUCUCAUUUCACAGAACAUUUAGGAAAUAAUUCCUAAAUGUUGGUUAAGAUA